rnacentral:misc_RNA from 1 species
GUCUCUGGAAAAGUGAAACCAGCUCUGGUACUUGAAAUAUGGACGAGGCAUACAACAAUUCCACUGCAAAAUUAAUUGCAGGCCCACAGGCAUCAUGAGCACAUAAAUUAUCAACACAAGUUGAUACCUCCAUUGGAGAUGGCUUAAGUUUCCCAGUAUACAAGUAGUUCAAGAAAACCAGGAUCGCUUCAUAUCCAACCUUUCCAUAAGGUAAUAGAUCGCUCAUGCAAUACUUUGGUUUCCCUUCCUUGCCUAAAGAUCCCUUUUCUUGCUUAAAUAACUCAUUGAAAAACCUGCUUCUAGCAGCCAGAAUACACCGAUGAAUGCCAACAGAGAUUCCCUCAACAAUAAUUUCAGCAUCACUAUAAUCACAACUGGAAUCAAUCA